GAAUGAUGAGGAGCUUGCUCCUCUGAUUUAGCGGCGGACGGGUGAGUAACACGUGGGUAAUCUGCCUGUAAGACGGGGAUAACUCCGGGAAACCGGGGCUAAUACCGGAUAAUAAGAGAAGAAGCAUUUCUUCUUUUUGAAAGUCGGUUUCGGCUGACACUUACAGAUGAGCCCGCGGCGCAUUAGCUAGUUGGUGAGGUAACGGCUCACCAAGGCGACGAUGCGUAGCCGACCUGAGAGGGUGAUCGGCCACACUGGGACUGAGACACGGCCCAGACUCCUACGGGAGGCAGCAGUAGGGAAUCUUCGGCAAUGGGCGAAAGCCUGACCGAGCAACGCCGCGUGAGCGAUGAAGGCCUUCGGGUCGUAAAGCUCUGUUGUUAGAGAAGAACAAGUACGAGAGUAACUGCUCGUACCUUGACGGUACCUAACCAGAAAGCCACGGCUAACUACGUGCCAGCAGCCGCGGUAAUACGUAGGUGGCAAGCGUUAUCCGGAAUUAUUGGGCGUAAAGCGCGCGCAGGCGGUCUCUUAAGUCUGAUGUGAAAGCCCACGGCUCAACCGUGGAGGGUCAUUGGAAACUGGGAGACUUGAGUGCAGGAGAGAAAAGUGGAAUUCCACGUGUAGCGGUGAAAUGCGUAGAGAUGUGGAGGAACACCAGUGGCGAAGGCGGCUUUUUGGCCUGUAACUGACGCUGAGGCGCGAAAGCGUGGGG
rnacentral:rRNA from 1 species